CGAAGGGGGCUAGCGUUGUUCGGAAUUACUGGGCGUAAAGCGCACGUAGGCGGACUAUUAAGUCAGGGGUGAAAUCCCGGGGCUCAACCCCGGAACUGCCUUUGAUACUGGUAGUCUCGAGUCCGAGAGAGGUGAGUGGGAUUCCGAGUGUAGAGGUGAAAUUCGUAGAUAUUCGGAGGAACACCAGUGGCGAAGGCGGCUCACUGGCUCGGUACUGACGCCGAGGUGCGAAAGCGUGGGGAGCAAACAGGAUUAGAUACCCUGGUAGUCCACGCUGUAAACGAUGGAAGCUAGCCGUCGGCAAGUUCACUUGUCGGUGGCGCAGCUAACGCAUUAAGCUUCCCGCCUGGGGAGUACGGUCGCAAGAUUA
rnacentral:rRNA from 1 species